GACGAACGCUGGCGGCGUGCUUAACGCAUGCAAGUCGAACGGAAAGGCCCUGCUUUUGUGGGGUGCUCGAGUGGCGAACGGGUGAGUAACACGUGAGUAACCUGCCCUUGACUUUGGGAUAACUUCAGGAAACUGGGGCUAAUACCGGAUAGGAGCUCCUGCUGCAUGGUGGGGGUUGGAAAGUUUCGGCGGUUGGGGAUGGACUCGCGGCUUAUCAGCUUGUUGGUGGGGUAGUGGCUUACCAAGGCUUUGACGGGUAGCCGGCCUGAGAGGGUGACCGGCCACAUGGGGACUGAGAGACGGCCCAGACUCCUACGGGAGGCAGCAGUGGGGAAUAUUGCACAAUGGGCGGAAGCCUGAUGCAGCAACGCCGCGUGCGGGAUGACGGCCUUCGGGUUGUAAACCGCUUUCGCCUGUGACGAAGCGUGAGUGACGGUAAUGGGUAAAGAAGCACCGGCUAACUACGUG
rnacentral:rRNA from 1 species